rnacentral:lncRNA from 1 species
AAGAGAACCGAUAGAAUAAGUACUAGGCUUGCAAAGAAUAAGUCCUGGGGGGGGGGGGGGUCGACUAAAGGCGGUGCUCCAGCAUGGCCACAGCCACAUGACUGAAACGAGUAAAAAAGUAGACAAAAAUUACAAAAAAAAACAAAAAUGUGAAAGUGAAGUUCUUGACAGAAUGAAACAAAGAAAAGCCACCGGAACGAACCCGACCAAUCAGUAGAGACAUCUAGUGGCGAAUUCAAGAAAUACAAUCAUAUAAAGGGAAAUAACUUCUACACUACAUCGACCAAGCUCCAAUUAUUAAUUAAGGUGCUUAAUUAGCGAUCGCCGACUCGCAGUUUCUAUCUGAACAGGGUAAGUUGACAAAGAUUUACUUUAAGGCUUUAAUGAUGAUAAUAAUACUAAUAAUAAUAUUGUAAAUCAUAGAAUUCUGUGAAUCUUUCGAUGUUACAGUAAUUAUUUCGAAGCGAAAACAUAAAAAUAUAAGGAAAAUAUAUUAAUUCGUCUUAAAUAAUAUUUUCUUCUUUAGAUACAAGACCUGAAAUUUGAGGGAGGUCAAUAGUCGAUCACGUCGGCACCAAUAUUUAACUGGUACUUAAUUUAUCGACCCAGAAGGAAUAAAAGGUUAAAGUCAGCCUCGACGGAAUUUGAACUCACAACGUACCUCGUCUUAAUUAAUAACUUCCAAACUGAAAUGUUGGUUUGUUGUUUGUGAAAACCUAUUAUCGGAUGUUAGAUGUGAUAUAGAGGAAAUUUAUUUGUAAAAUGAGAGUAAAACGGUGUAAUUGAUUAAUAAAAU